rnacentral:rRNA from 1 species
UACGUAGGGGGCAAGCGUUGUCCGGAUUUAUUGGGCGUAAAGAGCGUGUAGGCGGCCAGGUAGGUCUGCUGUGAAAACUCGAGGCUCAACCUCGAGAUGUCGGCGGAAACCAUCUGGCUAGAGUCCGGAAGAGGAGAAUGGAAUUCCCGGUGUAGCGGUGAAAUGCGUAGAUAUCUGGAGGAACACCGGUGGCGAAGGCGGCAUCCUGGACCGGUAUUGACGCUGAGGCGCGAAAGCCAGGGGAGCAAACGGG